ACUCAAAGGAAUUGACGGGGGCCCGCACAAGCAGUGGAGCAUGUGGUUUAAUUCGAAGCAACGCGAAGAACCUUACCAGGUCUUGACAUCCUUUGACCACCCUAGAGAUAGGGCUUUCCCCUUCGGGGGACAAAGUGACAGGUGGUGCAUGGUUGUCGUCAGCUCGUGUCGUGAGAUGUUGGGUUAAGUCCCGUAACGAGCGCAACCCUUAGGUCUAGUUGCCAGCAUUUAGUUGGGCACUCUAGAGCGACUGCCGGUGACAAACCGGAGGAAGGUGGGGAUGACGUCAAAUCAUCAUGCCCCUUAUGACCUGGGCUACACACGUGCUACAAUGGAUGGUACAACGGGCAGCGAGACCGCGAGGUCAAGCGAAUCCCUUAAAGCCAUUCUCAGUUCGGAUUGUAGGCUGCAACUCGCCUACAUGAAGCCGGAAUUGCUAGUAAUCGCGGAUCAGCAUGCCGCGGUGAAUACGUUCCCGGGCCUUGUACACACCGCCCGU
rnacentral:rRNA from 1 species